rnacentral:rRNA from 1 species
ACGAACGCUGGCGGCGUGCUUAACACAUGCAAGUCGAACGGUAAGGCCCUUUCGGGGGUACGACGAGUGGCGAACGGGUGAGUAACACGUGGGUAAUCUGCCCUGCACUUCGGGAUAAGCCUGGGAAACCGGGUCUAAUACCGGAUAUGAGCUCCUGCCGCAUGGUGGGGGUUGGAAAGUUUUUCGGUGCAGGAUGAGUCCGCGGCCUAUCAGCUUGUUGGUGGGGUAAUGGCCUACCAAGGCGACGACGGGUAGCCG